AUCCAGCUGUCGAGUCCCAAAUAGGACGAAAUUUACGUCCUGGAU
rnacentral:hammerhead_ribozyme from 1 species